CUCACCUUAACCUUACUUACAGUAAGAAAUCAAGAUUCAAGGACUCCAGGGCUCAAGGGUGUGAAAAUGAACUAUUCUCCAGGACCAGUAAUUAUACUAUUCUUAGCGUUUGGAAGAAACAAUGGAAAUUUGGUGACCCAGACAAAAGGCCAAAUGACUCUUUCUGAAGGGACUUCCCUGACUAUGAACUGUUCCUAUGACAGGACACAAUAUCCUUCCUUACACUGGUAUGUGCAGUACCCUGGAGAGGGGCCACAGCUCCUCCUCAAAGCCACAAAGGACAAGGAGAAGGGAAGCAACAAAGGCUUUGAAGCCACGUACGAUAAAGCCGCCAGCUCCUUCCACUUGGAGAAAGCCUCAGUGGAAGCGUCAGACUCGGCUGUGUACUACUGCGCACUGGGUGACACAGUGGCAGGAACUGCAGGGGGAGCCGAGCACAAACUCUAAACAUCAAGAAAAGGUCAGAGGUUGCUGAGGAGCUGCCUAGGGGAUUGCUCUUGUUUAGGGAGGAGGAACUAGUCUACUGUUGUUGCUACUCACUACCCCCACCCCCAAGAACUGUUGUGGUGGAAAAGUCAUCCAGAUCAAUUAGAAGAACAUAGCAGCACAAGAGGUACAUGUGCCUCACACAAGACACUUCAGUGAAGGGAAGGAAAACAGUCUGUCACCAUAGUUCCCUAACCUUACCUGAAA